UACGUAGGGUGCGAGCGUUUGUCCGGAAUUAUUGGGCGUAAAGAGCUCGUAGGCGGUCUGUCGCGUCGAUCGUGAAAACUUGGGGCUUAACCCUGAGCUUGCGGUCGAUACGGGCAUGACUGGAGUUCGGCAGGGGAGACUGGAAUUCCUGGUGUAGCGGUGAAAUGCGCAGAUAUCAGGAGGAACACCAAUGACGAAGGCAGCUCGCUGGGACGGUACUGACGCCUGAGACGCGAAAGC
rnacentral:rRNA from 1 species